CUGCAGCCCGAGUGGUGAUCGAUUUUAUUGAGCCUAAAGCGUCCGUAGCCGGACUAGUAAACCCUUGGGUAAAUCGGGCAGCUUAACUGUCCGACUUCCGAGGAGACUGCUAGUCUUGGGACUGGGAGAGGUCAGAGGUACUCCAGGGGUAGGGGCUAAAUCCUGUAAUCCUUGGGGGACCACCAGUGGCGAAGGCGUCUGACUAGAACGGAUCCGACGGUAAGGGACGAAACCCUGGGGCGCAAACCGGAUUAGAUACCCGAGUAGUCC
rnacentral:rRNA from 1 species